rnacentral:rRNA from 1 species
UACAGAGGGUGCGAGCGUUAAUCGGAGUUACUGGGCGUAAAGGGCGCGUAGGCGGUUAUUUAAGUGAGAUGUGAAAUCCCUGGGCUUAACCUAGGAACUGCAUCUCAUACUGGAUAGCUAGAGUAUUGUAGAGGGUAGUGGAAUUUCCGGUGUAGCGGUGAAAUGCGUAGAGAUCGGAAGGAACACCAGUGGCGAAGGCGGGUCUCUGGGCAGUAACUGACGCUGAGGAGCGAAAGCGUGGGGAGCGAACAGG